GUAUCUGGCUCAGGAUAAACGCUGGCGGCGCACAUAAGACAUGCAAGUCGAACGGGAAGUCGUUAUAAAAAGGAUUGAAGAUUUAUCUGAUUGAGAUUUUAUAACAAUGGCUUUAGUGGCGGACUGGUGAGUAACGCGUGAGCAACCUGCCUACUAGAGGGGAAUAACAGUGAGAAAUCAUUGCUAAUACCGCAUAUGCCAUGACAUCACAUGAUGAAAAUGGGAAAAGAG
rnacentral:rRNA from 1 species